rnacentral:rRNA from 1 species
AAUACGAAGGGACCUAGCGUAGUUCGGAAUUACUGGGCUUAAAGAGUUCGUAGGUGGUUAAAAAAGUUGGUUGUGAAAUCCCGAAGCUUAACUUCGGAACUGCAAUCAAAACUUUUUAGCUAGAGUAUGAUAGAGGAAAGCAGAAUUUCUAGUGUAGAGGUGAAAUUCGUAGAUAUUAGAAAGAAUACCAAUUGCGAAGGCAGCUUUCUGGAUCAUUACUGACACUGAGGAACGAAAGCMUGGGUAGCGAAGAGGAUUAGAUACCCUUAGUCCAUGCCGUAAACGAUGUGUGUUAGACGUUGGAAAUUUAUUUUCAGUGUCGCAGCGAAAGCGAUAAACACACCGCCUGGGGAGUACGACCGCAAGGUUAAAACUCAAAUGAAUUGACGGGGACCCGCACAAGUAGUGGAGCAUGUGGUUUAAUUCGAAGAUACGCGCAGAACCUUACCAACACUUGACAUGUUCGUCGCGACUCUAAGAGAUUAGAGUUUUCGGUUCGGCCGGACGAAACACAGGUGCUGCAUGGCUGUCGUCAGCUCGUGUCGUGAGAUGUUGGGUUAAGUCCCGCAACGAGCGCAACCCUCACUUUUAGUUGCCAUCAUUAAGUUGGGCACUCUGAAAGAACUGCCAGUGAUAAGCUGGAGGAAGGUGGGGAUGACGUCAAGUCCUCAUGGCCCUUACGUGUUGGGCUACACACGUGCUACAAUGGUAUCUACAACAGGAAGCAAAACUGCGAAGUUAAGCAAAUCCUUAAAAGAUACCUCAGUUCGGAUUGCACUCUGCAACUCGAGUGCAUGAAGCUGGAAUUACUAGUAAUCGUGGAUCAGCGUGCCACGGUGAAUGCGUUCCCGGGUCUUGUACACACCGCCCGUCACACCAUGGGAGUUGGUUCUACCUUAAGGCAAGGUUUCAAACCCUUGACCACGGUAUAGUCAGC